rnacentral:rRNA from 1 species
UACGCUGGCGGCACGCCUAACACAUGCAAGUCGAACGCAGUAGCAAUACUGAGUGGCAAACGGGUGAGUAUAAUGUGGGAAUCUGCCUUUUGGUUUGGAAUAACACGGGGAAACUUGUGCUAAUACCGAAUAAGCCCUUACGGGGAAAGUUUUAAUGCCGAAAGAUGAGCCCGCACUUGAUUAGCUAGUUGGUAAGGUAAAAGCUUACCAAGGCAACGAUCAAUAGCUGUUCUUAGAGGAAGACCAGCCACAUUGGGACUGAGACACGGCCCAGACUCCUACGGGAGGCAGCAGUGGGGAAUCUUGCACAAUGGGGGAAACCCUGAUGCAGCGAUGCCGCGUGAGUGAAGAAGGCCUUUGGGUUGUAAAACUCUUUCGUCGGGGAAGAAAAUGACUGUACCCGAAUAAGAAGGUCCGGCUAA